GAGGGUAUAGCUCAGUGGUAGAGUGCGUGCUUAGCAUGCAUGAGGUCCUGGAUUCAAUCUCCAGUACCGCCA
rnacentral:tRNA from 1 species